AUGGCGGCCCUCUUAAAUUCUGGGCCUGAUUUCCAAGCCCUCAGGGCUCUGUCUUGGAUCUGGGCUCUAGCGGGCCGGGCUCGGAAAGGGAAAAACUCGAGAGCUUUCAGAAUCCUUCCUUCUAUGCCAUCAACGGCCGCCGGGGCGCCGCUGGUUUUCUUUCUUCUCGCCCAAGCCGCCGCCGCCGACACACCAAACCGGCAGCUGCCUGGUCGCCGGGGCCGACCCUAG
rnacentral:rRNA from 1 species